GCUAGAUGUCAGUUCGAUCCUGGAGCUCAGCUGGGAGGAGGCCCACAGACAGCUUUCCUUCAGAUUGGUCACAGAGAAAAUCAUAUCCAGCACAGCAAAAGGAACAACCCAAGUGAAGGAAGGACAAGGAAGACCCAAGAUUCCAGAAAGGAACAGAUGAGCUGGGAGGAUUCAAAAACAGUCACUUCACUUCUUCUUGGGAGCUCUCCUGGAGUGGAUGGUCUGAGGAGGGACCACUGAGAUAGAGGGUCUCUCUGGACAUUGACUACCUUCCAGUAAACCCCAAAUCCCUCUGUACCAGUGGAAGACAAUAAAAGUAGAUUGGGACUUGGCA
rnacentral:lncRNA from 1 species